rnacentral:snRNA from 1 species
AUGCUUGCUUUGGCAGCACAUAUACGAAAAUUGGAACAAUACAGAGAAGGUUAGCAUGGCCCACUGCAAGGAUAACACACAAAUUUUUGAAGUGUUCUAUAUUUUU